UGGGUAGCUGUGGUUGAGCUUCUUGAUCAC
rnacentral:piRNA from 1 species